rnacentral:hammerhead_ribozyme from 1 species
AUCCAGCUGACGAGUUCAAGAUAGGACGAAACGCGCUUCCUAGAU